UCGUCUGUCUCCUCUAUCUCCCUACCUGUCUGUUUCUGUCCAGUUGCCUCUUGAGUGCCUUGUCACUUAAUUAGGUGGUCUUUUUAUAAGACAUGGUCAUUACAUUACAUCACGUGUGUCAAUUCCCGAAGUUUAUAUUUUUAUACAGAAUCUUUGAUGUAAUGUCAUAUUUAUCUGGGCAGACUUUGUGAUUGAAGAAGUGUUCAGCAGGAGCCUGGCUCAUGUUCAUUAGGCACAAAACAAUUUGUAAUUUUUUUUACCGGCAGUUUGCCAAAUGGAAACCCAGAAUGUUGUUUUCUGUUGCAAAAUGUCUUGCAACUUAGUGCUUCUUGAACAUGACCCUGUUAGGUAGAACAUGACCCUGUUAGCCCUAGUACCCAGUUAGGUAGAACAUGACCCCGUUAGCCCUAGUACCCAGUUAGGUAGAACAUGACCCCGUUAGCCCUAGUACCCAGUUAGGUAGAACAUGACCCCGUUAGCCCUAGUACCCAGUUAGGUAGAACAUGACCCCGUUAGCCCUAGUACCCAGUUAGGUAGAACAUGACCCCGUUAGCCCUAGUACCCAGUUAGGUAGAACAUUACCCUGUUAGCCCUAGUACCCAGUUAGGUAGAACAUGACCCUGUUAGCCCUAGUACCCAGUUAGGUAGAACAUGACCCCGUUAGCCCUAGUACCCAGUUAGGUAGAACAUGACUCCGUUAGCCCUAGUACCCAGUUAGCCCUAGUACCCAGUUAGGUAGAACAUGACCCCGUUAGCCCUAGUACCCAGUUAGGUAGAACAUGACCCCGUUAGCCCUAGUACCCAGUUAGGUAGAACAUGACCCUGUUAGCCCUAGUACCCAGUUAGGUAGAACAUGACCCCGUUAGCCCUAGUACCCAGUUAGGUAGAACAUGACCCCGUUAGCCCUAGUACCCAGUUAGGUAGAACAUGACCCCGUUAGCCCUAGUACCCAGUUAGGUAGAACAUGACCCCGUUAGCUCUAGUACCCAGUUAGGUAGAACAUGACCCCGUUAGCUCUAGUACCCAGUUAGGUAGAACAUGACCCCGUUAGCCCUAGUACCCAGUUAGGUAGAACAUGACCCCGUUAGCUCUAGUACCCAGUUAGGUAGAACAUGACCCCGUUAGCCCUAGUACCCAGUUAGGUAGAACAUGACCCCGUUAGCCCUAGUACCCAGUUAGGUAGAACAUGACCCCGUUAGCUCUAGUACCCAGUUAGGUAGAACAUGACCCCGUUAGCCCUAGUACCCAGUUAGGUAGAACAUGACCCCGUUAGCCCUAGUACCCAGUUAGGUAGAACAUGACCCCGUUAGCCCUAGUACCCAGUUAGGUAGAACAUGACCCCGUUAGCUCUAGUACCCAGUUAGGUAGAACAUGACCCCAUUAGCCCUAGUACCCAGUUAGGUAGAACAUGACCCCGUUAGCCCUAGUACCCAGUUAGGUAGAACAUGACCCCGUUAGCUCUAGUACCCAGUUAGGUAGAACAUGACCCCGUUAGCCCUAGUACCCAGUUAGGUAGAACAUGACCCCGUUAGCCCUAGUACCCAGUUAGGUAGAACAUGACCCCGUUAGCCCUAGUACCCAGUUAGGUAGAACAUGACCCCGUUAGCCCUAGUACCCAGUUAGGUAGAACAUGACCCCGUUAGCCCUAGUACCCAGUUAGGUAGAACAUGACCCCGUUAGCUCUAGUACCCAGUUAGUUAGACUAGAUCAGGCUGCAUUCUGUUGUCCUCCUUUCCUGACCUGGUUUCACCCAACACAUCAGUCUAUCCCUCUAUGGCUAAUUAAAGCACUUAAACUAACGGCUUUGAAUAAUUAAUUAAAUACCAGAUGUUGAAUAAUCCAUGAGUAGAUACGCUAAACUUUCAACCUAUUGCCACGGAACAGCUUGUCAUAGAUGACCUAGACUGAGGUAGCCUACUCUGGUGAUAUAAAUAGUCCAGUUUGGGUUCCCUGGGUGGUGUUCGGCAUUAAACGGUAGAAAACUGACUGAAACAGGGAGAGACUACUAGAACUUGUCUCCAGUAAGACACAUUCGUUUUCUGUUUCAACAUGUUUUGCUACAGUGUGCCCUAAUAAAUAUGCUCUUGAUGCA